CCCUUAGAUGUUCUGGGCCGCACGCGCGCUACACUGAUGCAUUCAACGAGCCUAUCCUUGACCGACAGGUCCGGGUAAUCUUUGAAUCUGCAUCGUGACGGGGAUAGAUUAUUGCAAUUAUUAAUCUUCAACGAGGAAUGCCUAGUAGGCGCAAGUCAUCAGCUUGCGUCGAUUACGUCCCUGCCCUUUGUACACACCGCCCGUCGCUCCUACCGAUUGGGUGUGCUGGUGAAAUGUUCGGAUCGGCCGUUUGUCGCGGUUUCCGCGGCUCGUGGCUGAGAAGUUCAUUAAACCCUCCCAUCUAGAGGAAGGAGAAGUCGUAACA
rnacentral:rRNA from 1 species